rnacentral:rRNA from 1 species
UACGUAGGGUGCAAGCGUUAAUCGGAAUUACUGGGCGUAAAGCGUGCGCAGGCGGCUAUGCAAGACAGAUGUGAAAUCCCCGGGCUCAACCUGGGAACUGCAUUUGUGACUGCAUUGCUGGAGUGCGGCAGAGGGGGAUGGAAUUCCGCGUGUAGCAGUGAAAUGCGUAGAUAUGCGGAGGAACACCGAUGGCGAAGGCAAUCCCCUGGGCCUGCACUGACGCUCAUGCACGAAAGCGUGGGGAGCAAACAGG